rnacentral:rRNA from 1 species
GACGAACGCUGGCGGCGUGCUUAACACAUGCAAGUCGAGCGGUAAGGCCCUUUCGGGGGUACACGAGCGGCGAACGGGUGAGUAACACGUGGGUGACCUGCCCUCAGCUCUGGGAUAAGCCUGGGAAACCGGGUCUAAUACUGGAUAUGACUCCAUGACGCAUGUUGUGGGGUGGAAAGCCCUGUGCGGCUGAGGAUGGGCCCGCGGCCUAUCAGCUUGUUGGUGGGGUGANGGCCUACCAAGGCGACGACGGGUAGCCGGCCUGAGAGGGCGACCGGCCACACUGGGACUGAGACACGGCCCAGACUCCUACGGGGGGCAGCAGUGGGGAAUCUUGCGCAAUGGGCGAAAGCCUGACGCAGCGACGCCGCGUGAGGGAUGACGGCCU